rnacentral:rRNA from 1 species
UACGUAGGGGGCAAGCGUUGUCCGGAUUUAUUGGGCGUAAAGGGCUCGUAGGCGGUUUGUCGCGUCGGGAGUGAAAACCAGGUGCUUAACACCUGGCUUGCUUUCGAUACGGGCAGACUAGAGGUAUUCAGGGGAGACUGGAAGUUCCUGGUGUAGCGGUGAAAUGCGCAGAUAUCAGGAGGAACACCGGUGGCGAAGGCGGAUCUCUGGGCCAUUACUGACGCUGAGGAGCGAAAGCGUGGGGAGCGAACAGG